GUCUGCCGCCAGGCCACCCUGAACAAGCCCGAUCUGAUCUCGGAAGCUAAACAGGGUCAGGCCUGGUUAGUACUUGGAUGGGAGACCACCUAGGAAGACCAGGUGCUGUAGGCA
rnacentral:rRNA from 1 species